UGCUGUGGCUCAGUUGGUAGAGCAGUUGAUUCGUAAUCAACAGGCCGUGGGUUCGAGUCCCACCAGC
rnacentral:tRNA from 1 species